rnacentral:rRNA from 1 species
GAUGAACGCUGGCGGCGUGCUUAACACAUGCAAGUCGAACGGUGAAGCAGGAGCUUGCUCUUGUGGAUCAGUGGCGAUCGGGUGAGUAACACGUGAGCAACCUGCCCCUGACUCUGGGAUAAGCGCUGGAAACGGCGUCUAAUACUGGAUAUGUGAUGUGACCGCAUGGUCUGCAUCUGGAAAGAAUUUCGGUUGGGGAUGGGCUCGCGGCCUAUCAGCUUUGUGGUGAGGUAAUGGCUCACCAAGGGGUCGACGGGUAGCCGGCCUGAGAGGGUGACCGGCCACACUGGGACUGAGACACGGCCCAGACUCCUACGGGAGGCAGCAGUGGGGAAUAUUGCACAAUGGGCGGAAGCCUGAUGCGGCAACGCCGCGUGAGGGAUGACGGCCUUCGGGUUGUAAACCUCUUUUAGCAGGGAAGAAGCGAAAGUGACGGUACCUGCAGAAAAAGCACCGGCUAACUACGUGCCAGCAGCCGCCGCGG